rnacentral:rRNA from 1 species
GCCUGUGGGUUGUAAACCCCUUUUCUCAGGGAAGAAGAUCUGACGGUACCUGAGGAAUCAGCAUCGGCUAACUCCGUGCCAGCAGCCGCGGUAAUACGGAGGAUGCNAGCGUUAUCCGGAAUUAUUGGGCGUAAAGCGUCCGCAGGCGGCUUAUCAAGUCUGCUGUUAAAGGUCGGGGCUAAACUCCGGUUAGGCAGNGGAAACUGAUAGGCUANAGUGUGGUAGGGGUAGAGGGAAUUCCCAGNGUAGCGNUGAAAUGCGUANAUAUUGGGAAGAACACCAGUGGCNAAGGCNCUCUACUGGGCCAUAACUGACGCUGAGGGACGAAAGCUAAGGGGAGCGAAAGGGAUUAGAUACCCCUGUAGUCCUAGCCGUAAACGAUGGACACUAGGUGUUGACCGUAUCGACCCGGUCAGUAUCGUAGCUAACGCGUUAAGUGUCCCGCCUGGGGAGUACGCACGCAAGUGUGAAACUCAAAGGAAUUGACGGGGGCCCGCACAAGCGGUGGAGUAUGUGGUUUAAUUCGAUGCAACGCGAAGAACCUUACCAGGGUUUGACAUCCCCCGAAUCUCCGAGAAAUUGGGGAGUGCCUUCGGGAGCGCGGAGACAGGUGGUGCAUGGCUGUCGUCAGCUCGUGUCGUGAGAUGUUGGGUUAAGUCCCGCAAAGAGCGCAACCCUCGUUUUUAGUUGCCAUCAUUCAGUUGGGCACUCUAGAGAGACUGCCGGGGACAACUCGGAGGAAGGUGGGGACGACGUCAAGUCAUCAUGCCCCUUACAUCCUGGGCUACACACGUACUACAAUGCUACGGACAAAGGGCAGCGAGCUCGCGAGAGUAAGCUAAUCUCAUAAACCGUGGCUCAGUUCAGAUCGCAGGCUGCAACUCGCCUGCGUGAAGGAGGAAUCGCUAGUAAUCGCAGGUCAGCAUACUGCGGUGAAUACGUUCCCGGGCCUUGUACACACCGCCCGUCACACCAUGGAAGUUGGCCACGCCCGAAGUCGAAAUCCAACCUUUGG